UUUUGACUCUUUUUUCUACUCAAUUCUUUGCGAGCAUUUUAUAGGUGUUAGAGUCUUAAGUCUCGGCAAGUGCAUUUUUCUCUUUUUUUUUUCUUUUUUUCUUUUUGGACAUACACAAAUCUUUUCUUUUUGUAUGAUCUCUUAUUAUGCACUUGCCCUAUCUUUCAAGAUUACCACCCCAAACUUAGCUUUAUGCACAUCUUGCAACUCACAACAAUCAUGCCG
rnacentral:lncRNA from 1 species